AUUGAACGCUGGCGGCAGGCCUAACACAUGCAAGUCGAACGAGUGGCGGACGGGUGAGUAAUGUCUGGGCAACUGCCCGAUGGAGGGGGAUAACUACUGGAAACGGUAUGUAAUACCGCAUACUAUCAGAUGAGCCCAGAUGGGAUUAGCUAGUUGGUGGGGUAACGGCUCACAGAGGCGACGAUCCCUAGCUGGUCUGAGAGGAUGACCAGCCAAACUGGAACGGAGAAACGGACCAGACUCCUACGGGAGGCAGCAGUGGGGAAUAUUGCACAAUGGGCGAAAGCCUGAUGCAGCCAUGCCGCGUGUAUGAAGAAGGCCUUCGGGUUGUAAAGUACUUUCAGCGGGGAGGCGUUACCCGCAGAAGAAGCACCGGCUAACUCCGUGCCAGCAGCCGCGGUAAUUC
rnacentral:rRNA from 1 species